GAUGAACGCUGGCGGCGUGCUUAACACAUGCAAGUCGAACGAGAAGUGAGGACGGAAACCUUCGGGCGGAAGGCUUUACUUCGAGUGGCGGACGGGUGAGUAACGCGUGGGUAACCUGCCUCAUACAGGGGGAUAACAGUUGGAAACGACUGUUAAUACCGCAUAAGACCACAGCACCGCAUGGUGCGGGGGUAAAAACUCCGGUGGUAUGAGAUGGACCCGCGUUCGAUUAGCCAGUUGGCGGGGUAACGGCUCACCAAGGCGACGAUACAUAGCCGACCUGAGAGGGUGAUCGGCCACACUGGGACUGAGACACGGCCCAGACUCCUACGGGAGGCAGCAGUAGGGAAUCUUCGGCAAUGGACGGAAGUCUGACCGAGCAACGCCGCGUGAGUGAAGAAGGUUUUCGGAUCGUAAAGCUCUGUUGUAAGAGAAGAACGAGUGUGAGAGUGGAAAGUUCACACUGUGACGGUAACUUACCAGAAAGGGACGGCUAACUACGUGCCAGCAGCCGCGGUAAUACGUAGGUCCCGAGCGUUAUCCGGAUUUAUUGGGCGUAAAGCGAGCGCAGGCGGUUAGAUAAGUCUGAAGUUAAAGGCUGUGGCUUAACCAUAGUACGCUUUGGAAACUGUUUAACUUGAGUGCAGAAAGGGGAGAGUGGAAUUCCAUGUGUAGCGGUGAAAUGCGUAGAUAUAUGGAGGAACACCGGUGGCGAAAGCGGCUUCUCUUGUCUGUAAAUGACGCUGACGCUCGAAAACUUGCGGGGCAAAAAGU
rnacentral:rRNA from 1 species